rnacentral:rRNA from 1 species
AGUUGUAAAGCUUGCUGGAGGUAUCAGAAGUGCGAAUGCUGACAUGAGUAACGAUAAAGGGGGUGAAAAACCUCCUCGCCGGAAGACCAAGGGUUCCUGUCCAACGUUAAUCGGGGCAGGGUAAGUCGACCCCUAAGGCGAGGCCGAAAGGCGUAGUCGAUGGGAAACGGGUUAAUAUUCCCGUACUUCUUACAAUUGCGAUGGGGGGACGGAGAAGGCUAGGUGGGCCUGGCGACGGUUGUCCAGGUUCAAGUGCGUAGGCUUGAGAGUUAGGUAAAUCCGGCUCUCUCUAAGGCUGAGACACGACGUCGAGCACCUACGGGUGUGAAGUCAUUGAUGCCAUGCUUCCAGGAAAAGCCUCUAAGCUUCAGAUUGUAAGGAAUCGUACCCCAAACCGACACAGGUGGUCGGGUAGAGAAUACCAAGGCGCUUGAGAGAACUCGGGUGAAGGAACUAGGCAAAAUGGUACCGUAACUUCGGGAGAAGGUACGCUCCUGUCGGUGAAGUCCCUUGCGGAUGGAGCUAACGGGAGUCGCAGAUACCAGGUGGCUGCAACUGUUUAUUAAAAACACAGCACUGUGCAAAAUCGUAAGAUGACGUAUACGGUGUGACGCCUGCCCGGUGCCGGAAGGUUAAUUGAUGGGGUUAGACGUAAGUCGAAGCUCUUGAUCGAAGCCCCGGUAAACGGCGGCCGUAACUAUAACGGUCCUAAGGUAGCGAAAUUCCUUGUCGGGUAAGUUCCGACCUGCACGAAUGGCGUAAUGAUGGCCACGCUGUCUCCACCCGAGACUCAGUGAAAUUGAAAUCGCUGUGAAGAUGCAGUGUACCCGCGGCUAGACGGAAAGACCCCGUGAACCUUUACUACAGCUUGGCACUGAACAUUGACCCUACAUGUGUAGGAUAGGUGGGAGGCUUUGAAACCGGUACGCCAGUAUCGGUGGAGCCGUCCUUGAAAUACCACCCUUGUAGUGUUGAUGUUCUAACUUAGACCCAUUAUCUGGGUUGAGGACAGUGCCUGGUGGGUAGUUUGACUGGGGCGGUCUCCUCCCAAAGAGUAACGGAGGAGCACGAAGGUGGGCUAAUCACGGUUGGACAUCGUGAGGUUAGUGCAAUGGCAUAAGCCCGCUUGACUGCGAGAAUGACAAUUCGAGCAGGUGCGAAAGCAGGUCAUAGUGAUCCGGUGGUUCUGUAUGGAAGGGCCAUCGCUCAACGGAUAAAAGGUACUCCGGGGAUAACAGGCUGAUACCGCCCAAGAGUUCAUAUCGACGGCGGUGUUUGGCACCUCGAUGUCGGCUCAUCACAUCCUGGGGCUGAAGUCGGUCCCAAGGGUAUGGCUGUUCGCCAUUUAAAGUGGUACGCGAGCUGGGUUUAGAACGUCGUGAGACAGUUCGGUCCCUAUCUGCCGUGGGCGUUGGAAGAUUGAAGGGGGCUGCUCCUAGUACGAGAGGACCGGAGUGGACGAACCUCUGGUGUUCGGGUUGUCAUGCCAAUGGCAUUGCCCGGUAGCUAAGUUCGGAAUCGAUAACCGCUGAAAGCAUCUAAGCGGGAAGCGAGCCCUGAGAUGAGUCUUCCCUGACCCCUUGAGGGUCCUAAAGGGUUGUUCGAGACUAGAACGUUGAUAGGCAGGGUGUGUAAGCGUUGUGAGGCGUUGAGCUAACCUGUACUAAUUGCCCGUGAGGCUUAACCAU